rnacentral:tRNA from 1 species
UGGCUGAGCAGUAAAGCAUUAGGCUUCUGAACUGGGGGUCCCAGGUUCAAAUCCUGG